ensembl:misc_RNA Y_RNA Y RNA
GGCUGGUCUGAGUGCAGUGGUGUUUACAAGUAAUUGAUCACAGCCAGUUACAGAUUUCUUUAUUCUUUUUCCACUCACACUGCUUCACUUGGUUAGCCUUUA